GAGUUGCUUCCAAAUACCGGAAAUAUUCAGUUAAACUGAGGAAUACACUAUUUUCUUUGUCCAUCAUAUUUCUUUCUGCACAAAUAACACUCAAAAUAUUUUUGUUUACAAUAUCUUACCUUUAGCCGAAAAAGCAUGCUGAAGAGGGCGCUGCCUACCCUUGAAUCGGGAAUACUCACUUCCAAUCCUAUCAAACUUCAACAAACGUCAAUUGGUGAAUUGUCAAUAUAAUAUAAUUUGGAUAUAGUAAAACGAUUGUUGAGAGGAAAAGUUUUAUUUUCAUUAAGAAAUAAGGACUGAAGGGAAUUUUCCUAUUACGAAGAUGAAUACACAUAGCACAAAUGUAUCUAUAGGAAAACUAUUGAACAGCAAUUUGAAUCCUGAAUCAAGUUUGAUUGGUGCUUCUAGAAAAUUAUGAUUGUGUAUAAUGUACAUUUCUCCGAUUAAAGACUUUGUUACUUAAUGAAUGAUACAAAAUCAAAA